rnacentral:rRNA from 1 species
AUGGAGUUCUCUGGUUAUGCUCUUACAUGGUGGAAUCAGCUGCAAGACGAUCGGUUGAUGUUGGGCAAUAAUCAUAUCCGCAACUGGACUUUGAUGAAGGAAGUCAUGAGGCGUCACUUUGUUCCAUCAUACUAUGGGAGGCAAUUUUACAAAUGGUUGCAGGGGCUCACUCAAGGUUCACGCAUUGUUGAGGAGUACUAUAAAGAGAUGGAGGUGCUACUAAUUCGUACAAGAACCCGUGAAAGUGAUGAGGUGAAGAUGGUGAGAUUUUUACAUGGGCUGAAUGAUGAAAUAUCAGACUUUGUGGAGAUGUUUCCUUAUGAUACAUUACAAGAUGUGGUACAUCAAGCUAUAAGAGUUGAGAAUAAGAAUAUGCGUAAUGGUAGUACUCGUGCUUUCAAGGCCGCACCACCACACGCUCAUGGCCGCUAA